rfam:Brassica napus, WGS project CCCW01000000 data, contig: 7676
GGAAUAUAAUAACCCGUCUCUUAACUUUUAACUAAAAAAACUAAGAACCGAUUCUUAAAUAAGAGUUUUAAGAGCUGGUUCUUAACUUUUUUAGUUAAAAAUUAAAAAAGUGGUUUUUAUAUUCC